rnacentral:ribozyme from 1 species
CAGUUAAGACGGCUUGAGUGAGAUUGUUAAUGCUACUGCCUGGUGCAUAUUGCAUCCUGGCAAAGGUCACAAGUCCUUAAAAGCAGAGUGGCAA